UCAGAGCUGUGGACAGUCAUGAAGGGUCCGUU
rnacentral:piRNA from 1 species